rnacentral:lncRNA from 1 species
CCCAGCAAGUGCUGCAGGUCUCAGCUGGGGGCUGAGCCUGUCCAUGCCUCCCUGCAUCCUGUCAGCCCUGCUCAGGCAGUCGGGGCACUGAUGAGCAGAGAUGGGCCCUGCUGCUGAGUGCAGGGGGUUCUGCUGUGCUUUGUUCCUUGCCCAGCGGGAGGCCUGGCACUCUUGCUUGCAGAGCCCUCCUGGAGAGCUGGGCUGUUUCCUGCCUAUGCUGGGGCUGCCUGCCUGUCAGAGGGGACCUGCAUUUGAAGCCUCCUCAACCCAGCUGCCAGCUCCACCAGCCCUGCUGGCUUGACCGCUGGUGAGUAGCAGCGCCCUGGGGAAGGUGCCCUGGGCAAAGCCAUUGUCUGCCUGCUGCUGGCAGGAGCAGCUCCACACUUCCUUCCUGCUGAGAGAAGCUGAAAGUGUCACUGGAAUACAUGGAGGACCAGGCCUGGACUGUGGCUCUGAGCCAGCAGCUCAGCGAGCAGCUUGGCACCUGUCCUCACAGCUCCUGGGAGAAUGUUGGCUCCCUGCUUGGCUCUUCCCUGAUUGCAGAGCCAUGGUGCACCCAGCUCCAUGGCUGGGACUGGAGGCACUCUUCUGCCCAUGAUGGCUCUUGUCACCGCUUCCCCUUCUUUUGCCACCAAAAGGCUCUUCCCUCCAUGCAGCUCAGAGGCUGGCUACAACCCAGCACUGUGGCCGGCCUCAGCUGCUCCCUGGGGUGCUAGGGUCCAUCUUGGCCUGUCCUCCUGACACAUCGGGCCAUUACCACAUCUCGGGCUCAGCCUCCUUUCUUU